GAGUUUGAUAGAGGUUUUUGAGUUAGAUAAUAGAACAAAACCUUAAAUUGUUAGAAUCGAUUGUUAGGAUAUCGGAUUGUGAUUAAUGUGAUGGUUUACGGUUUCAGGAUCUGCGGUUACUCGUAGUACGACCAAGAAGCUGUGAAGACUCGGUCAGCGCGAAGUUGUGUGGUGUAUGGGUAGAUCGAAUUAGGAAUGAACUUAUGAUGACCUAUAGUGCAACUUAAACCUAUGUAUUGAAUUUCAUUUUAUAUUAAUACAAGAUUGAUUUACCUUAUUGUUUAUACAUACUGGUCGAUUGUCUUAUGAACCUCAUAUGAUUGAAAAUGACAUAGUAAAUAUUGAACCUAAAAUGAAUCAAGAGUCGGAUUGAGUUGGUGUAAGGCUGCGGGUCUUAGUUGGGUUCAGGAACCCGAGAUCGGGUCUUACACGCAUCUCACUAUUGAUUGUCUCCUUUUUCCCACCCAAGACAUCAAAUUUCAAAAACACGGAAAUUUCAAAUUCCACAAUAUAUGCUUAAAAAGUAAGAACGGAUUAUCAAAGGAACCGUCUUUCCUUCCAUUUUCAUUAUGCCAUGCGAU
rnacentral:lncRNA from 1 species